GAUGAACGCUGGCGGCGUGCCUAAUACAUGCAAGUCGAGCGAACGGACGAGAAGCUUGCUUCUCUGAUGUUAGCGGCGGACGGGUGAGUAACACGUGGAUAACCUACCUAUAAGACUGGGAUAACUUCGGGAAACCGGAGCUAAUACCGGAUAAUAUUUUGAACCGCAUGGUUCAAAAGUAAAAGACGGUCUUGCUGUCACUUAUAGAUGGAUCCGCGCUGCAUUAGCUAGUUGGUAAGGUAACGGCUUACCAAGGCAACGAUGCAUAGCCGACCUGAGAGGGUGAUCGGCCACACUGGAACUGAGACACGGUCCAGACUCCUACGGGAGGCAGCAGUAGGGAAUCUUCCGCAAUGGGCGAAAGCCUGACGGAGCAACGCCGCGUGAGUGAUGAAGGUCUUCGGAUCGUAAAACUCUGUUAUUAGGGAAAAACAUAUGUGUAAGUAACUGUGCACAUCUUGACGGUACCUAAUCAGAAAGCCACGGCUAACUACGUG
rnacentral:rRNA from 1 species